GGGGAUUUAGCUCAGCGGUAGAGCGCUUGCCUAGCAAGCGCGAGGCCCUGGGUUCGGUUCCCAGCUCCG
rnacentral:tRNA from 1 species